UACGUAGGGUGCAAGCGUUGUCCGGAAUUAUUGGGCGUAAAGGGCUCGUAGGCGGUCUGUCGCGUCGGUAGUGAAAACUCAGGGCUUAACCCUGAGCCUGCUUCCGAUACGGGCAGACUAGAGGUAUGCAGGGGAGAAUGGAAUUCCUGGUGUAGCGGUGAAAUGCGCAGAUAUCAGGAGGAACACCGGUGGCGAAGGCGGUGGUCUGGGCCGGCACUGACGCUGAGGAGCGAAAGCGUGGGUAGCAAACAGG
rnacentral:rRNA from 1 species